UUGGAACAACAAUUUGGUAUUCUGGUUUGUUCCAAAAAUUCAGUCUGCCCAGAAAUCACUGUAGCGGGUGCAACAAAUGCCAAAACUUGUUCUAAUUUGAGAACAUGUAUAAAAAGAAAUUACGUAUAUGUUUUAGGGCUAGGAUUUAUAUUGCGCAGCUGAGGCAAUUCGGCGACUCCAGUACGGCUGACAUCUAUAAAUCGACGACCCUAUUUCAUGAUUGGGCUUGAAAUUGACGACUGUGUAUGAAGAUCUGAAGAGCUCUCUCUUCAUCACGUCUCUCCACUCUCGAAUUAUCUUCUCUUUUUCUCUAGCCGAUUUACGCCAACGAUAUGCCGGUAGUCGUCUGUAACUUCCAGUGAGCUCCAGUUUUCUUCUCUGGCGACGAUUUGGCAAGAAAAUUUCUAAAAUCUGCCCAAGCUCUCUCUCUAUUUCCUCACUCUCUCAUCUCGGGGUGACGGGCCACCUUGUGCAUGUGGAAGGGGUCGAAUGAAUCUUUAUACGGCUGGAACUUUAAAGAAUUAUGGACGUUCAUUCUAUAGAUGUACAGUUUGGGGGGG